rnacentral:rRNA from 1 species
GAGUUUGAUCAUGGCUCAGAUUGAACGCUGGCGGUAUGCUUAACACAUGCAAGUCGAACGGUAGACACUUCGGUGUCGAGAGUGGCGGACGGGUGAGUAACGCGUAGGAAUCUGCCUCAUAGUGGGGGACAACGUGGGGAAACUCACGCUAAUACCGCAUACGCCCUACGGGGGAAAGCGGGGGACCUUCGGGCCUCGCGCUAUGAGAGGAGCCUGCGUUAGAUUAGCUGGUUGGUAGGGUAAAGGCCUACCAAGGCGACGAUCUAUAGCUGGUCUGAGAGGACGAUCAGCCACACUGGGACUGAGACACGGCCCAGACUCCUACGGGAGGCAGCAGUGGGGAAUAUUGGACAAUGGGCGCAAGCCUGAUCCAGCAAUACCGCGUGUGUGAAGAAGGCCUUCGGGUUGUAAAGCACUUUCAAUGGGGAGGAAAACCUGCCGGUCAAUACCCGGUAGCUUGACAUUACCCAUAGAAGAAGCACCGGCUAACUCCGUGCCAGCAGCCGCGGUAAUACGGAGGGUGCGAGCGUUAAUCGGAAUUACUGGGCGUAAAGCGUGCGUAGGCGGUUCGUUAAGUCAGAUGUGAAAGCCCCGGGCUCAACCUGGGAACUGCAUUUGAAACUGGCGAACU